rnacentral:rRNA from 1 species
UACGAAGGGGGCUAGCGUUGCUCGGAAUCACUGGGCGUAAAGGGUGCGCAGGCGGCCGUGUGUGUGAGGCGUGAAAGCCCGGGGCUUAACCCCGGAAUUGCACCUCAAACUAUACGGCUAGAGCAUUGGAGAGGGUAGCAGAAUUCAUGGUGUAGCAGUGAAAUGCGUAGAUAUCAUGAGGAAUACCAGAGGCGAAGGCGGCUACCUGGACAAUUGCUGACGCUCAGGCACGAAAGCGUGGGGAGCAAAAGGG